rnacentral:rRNA from 1 species
CCUACGGGAGGCAGCAGUGAGGAAUCUUGCGCAAUGGGCGAAAGCCUGACGCAGCGACGCCGCGUGGACGAUGAAGGCCUUUGGGUUGUAAAGUCCAUUAAGCGGGGAAGAAUAAGCAUGGUACAAUAUGCCUUGUGAUGACGGUACCUGCCUAAAGCCUCGGCUAACUACGUGCCAGCAGCCGCGGUAAU